GAUGAACGCUGGCGGCGUGCCUAAUACAUGCAAGUCGAGCGAACGGACGAGAAGCUUGCUUCUCUGAUGUUAACGGCGGACGGGUGAGUAACACGUGGAUAACCUACCUAUAAGACUGGGAUAACUUCGGGAAACCGGAGCUAAUACCGGAUAAUAUUUUGAACCGCAUGGUUCAAAAGUGAAAGACGGUCUUGCUGUCACUUAUAGAUGGAUCCGCGCUGCAUUAGCUAGUUGGUAAGGUAACGGCUUACCAAGGCAACGAUGCAUAGCCGACCUGAGAGGGUGAUCGGCCACACUGGAACUGAGACACGGUCCAGACUCCUACGGGAGGCAGCAGUAGGGAAUCUUCCGCAAUGGGCGAAAGCCUGACGGAGCAACGCCGCGUGAGUGAUGAAGGUCUUCGGAUCGUAAAACUCUGUUAUUGGGGAAGAACAUAUGUGUAAGUAACUGUGCACAUCUUGACGGUACCUAAUCAGAAAGCCACGGCUAACUACGUG
rnacentral:rRNA from 1 species